rnacentral:rRNA from 1 species
GAUGAACGCUGGCGGCGUGCCUAAUACAUGCGAGUCGAGCGAACAGACGAGGAGCUUGCUCCUUUGACGUUAGCGGCGGACGGGUGAGUAACACGUGGAUAACCUACCUAUAAGACUGGGAUAACUUCGGGAAACCGGAGCUAAUACCGGAUAACAUGUUGAACCGCAUGGUUCAACAGUGAAAGACGGUCUUGCUGUCACUUAUAGAUGGAUCCGCGCCGCAUUAGCUAGUUGGUAAGGUAACGGCUUACCAAGGCAACGAUGCGUAGCCGACCUGAGAGGGUGAUCGGCCACACUGGAACUGGGACACGGUCCAGACUCCUACGGGAGGCAGCAGUAGGGAAUCUUCCGCAAUGGGCGAAAGCCUGACGGAGCAACGCCGCGUGAGUGAAGAAGGUCUUCGGAUCGUAAAACUCUGUUAUUAGGGAAGAACAAAUGUGUAAGUAACUAUGCACGUCUUGACGGUACCUAAUCAGAAAGCCACGGCUAACUACGUG